CGUAGGGCGCAAGCGUUAUCCGGAAUUAUUGGGCGUAAAGAGCUCGUAGGCGGUUUGUCGCGUCUGCUGUGAAAUCCCGAGGCUCAACCUCGGGCCUGCAGUGGGUACGGGCAGACUAGAGUGCGGUAGGGGAGAUUGGAAUUCCUGGUGUAGCGGUGGAAUGCGCAGAUAUCAGGAGGAACACCGAUGGCGAAGGCAGAUCUCUGGGCCGUAACUGACGCUGAGGAGCGAAAGGGUGGGGAGCAAACAGGCUUAGAUACCCUGGUAGUCCACCCCGUAAACGUUGGGAACUAGUUGUGGGGUCCUUUCCACGGAUUCCGUGACGCAGCUAACGCAUUAAGUUCCCCGCCUGGGGAUACGGCCGCAAGGCUA
rnacentral:rRNA from 1 species